CGGAAAUACAACCGGAACGGGAAAUUCUGUUCCAACGGGGAAAAAAACUUCUUUGCUUUCACGCCCUCCCGCUGCAGUCCUUAUCAGACAACGCCGGGAAGAGACUGGGGACACCAGGAUAAAAGAUUUACAGGUACAUUCAGCUACCAAUGACCACCCAGAAGUCUCCAGCCAUUGCCCUGAACAUGCCAUCACCUUGAGUUCAGCAGAGCCUCCACAAAGCAGACUUCCCCAAGCAGAAAUCACCUCAUGGAGAACAAAUUGCCCCUUGAAGCUGGAAGAAUUUCUCCAAGGGCCAUCUUGCAAAACCAGAACUGAGGUAAUGGUCAACCAGACGCUGGCCCACCGGAGCUCAUCCAUAAAGGCUGGUCUCAUUCUUUUCCUAAUGGGCCAGUCUGAUCCUCUCCACCAGAGCUGUGCCCUCUUCAGCUCCCCAAGCUGAAAUCCCUUCCUUAGCUUCUCUUACUUUCUAACUGCCUAAUAAAUCUGUCUAUGCCUUACA